rnacentral:rRNA from 1 species
UACGUAGGGGGCAAGCGUUGUCCGGAAUCAUUGGGCGUAAAGCGCGUGUAGGCGGGUCGGAACGUCGGUCGCUGAAAUCCCCCGGCUUAACCGGGGAACGGGCGCCGAAACGGCCGGCCUGGAGGGACGUAGGGGGAACUGGAACUUCCGGUGGAGCGGUGAAAUGCGUUGAGAUCGGAAGGAACGCCCGUGGCGAAAGCGGGUUCCUGGACGUCUGCUGACGCUGAGACGCGAAAGCCAGGGGAGCGAACGGG